AUAUCCCUGUUUAAAUUAGUUGCAUGGGCAGUGUAGCAUCUCACAUCUACUUCUUACCUUGAAAUAUUGCGAGUGACCAAAACUAUCCUUGCCAGUGUAACACUUCGUGGGUUACCAUGAAAAUAGUUCAACUACAUUGCUUUUAACUUGAACAGUAAAACAUUUGGUGUAAUAAUCUGAUCGCAGUCAUAGUUUCUUUGCUAUCCCCAUUGUCUUUUUUUUCUUCUGUGGGUUAUAUGGCGGACUACAACCCCAAAAAUGGUUUUGCCGCCACCAACUGGACGGGUUGAAAAACCAAAACAAGGUAAAAAGAAAGUCCAUAUGUGAUAGGGAAACAAAUUUAAUCGACCCAAAUGAUUGUAAUCAGAUUACAGAUACUUUUUAAAAACUAGAUGAUUACUUUGAGGAUUACUUUUAAAUUCAGAAAGGAUGUUUGUGGGGAAAAAAUAUUUGAUACUUCUCGGUUUUCUCAAUGACAUUCAAAUCAACAUUGAAAAAAGGCACAAGUUUAAGUUUGUUCCACUUGAGCGAGUCUGACCACAAGUCAGAGACCACUAUGAUGACACACCAAAUGUGUUCGAUGGAUUGCAGAAAAAGAGCAGGAAUAGGCUUUCAGUCUAAACUAUGUCUUCCAAUUGUGCGACUGCUGUAGGCAUCCAAAGAUUAUCCAGCUGUGGUGUAGUCUUGCGGCGAUACGGAUAUCAUUUAUUAUUGAUAUCUACACAGCGCAUUGAUGUGAAUCACACUUUUUUUUGUACUGUUAAAGAUCUACUACUCACCCUUGACCCAUCUUCCUCUACUUUCUUCACUACUCUAACCCUGGAAACCUCAACCUGCCUCUCUCGCACAGGACAUUUCUGAUCCCCAGCCCCAUGGGCACCCUUACAAUUACCACAUACCACUACUUUCCCCAAUACUACACAUUCCCUUGUCUCAUGCCCUUCUGCACACUUCUCACACCUAGGAACCUCCCUCAUAUACACUGCUGCCACAUGCCCAUAAGCUUGACAUCUGUAACAACAUAAUGUAUUCAGCACAAAAGCUCAUACAGGUUAACUUUAUUAUAUCCUAACAUCACUUUCCUUACUUUAUUCGGACAGUAUUCGGCUUGUGUCCGAAAGUGAUUGAUGAGCUCUUUUAUGUGUCACGUGGUUAUGCCCAUAUAUGUACAUCCUGUCCGGAUGUUCUCACGCUAUGAGUGAGUGUUUCUGUAAUCUGACAGUGCAGCUGUUCCUUUGAAGUAAAGCAUGUGUUUGCACUAAAGCUGUAGUGGUGAUUGAUGUGUAGUGACCUUGUUGACCUGUGGAAUGUGUUUGAACAUUUGAAAGAGUAGGGAAAUGUUGUAGUGAACUUAUGGCUCUGCUUUUUAGGGAAAUUGUAUAUGAAACAGUAAUUUCCGGGGUAGGUCAGCCGGAGUAUAAGUAAGAUCUGUGAACACUACAAGCGACAAGAAACCUCAAGAGAACUAAACCACAGAAGACUCUAAAAAAUAAAUAAAUAAAACAUGGCUCCUUGACCAAUUGUCGGUGUAUUGUGUACUUCGUGUCAUGAACACAAUGACAAAACCAUCGAAGCCAUUCUUUAUGAUGCCCCUGAUUGUUUUAAUGGUGUGCUGGAUUCAACGGUGAAGAUUUUCAAACAGCUGCCUCAUCACCCUUUUUCAACCAAAAACAGGGGAGUUUUUCUCUUGCGUUGCAGAUGAAAGAAUGUCUUAAGGUGGGGAGAUUAUCAUGAAGUCCUUGACAUGAUGAAACAAGUGGAAAAUAUUUUCCAACAUCGUGAACAUUUACGUCGAUGGGCCAUUCUAACCUUAAGACAGAACCUGGGCCUAAAGGCAAGAAGGUUGAUCUAACCUGGAAAAGAAAACAUACGAAAUCUGGAUGGAGCGGGAUAUCAUGCAGGGAAGAGACAAUGUCUGAACCGGGCUGCCACUUGAGAUUCUGGGUUCGAGUCCAGGCUCUGUCGCAGCCGACCGUGACCGGGAGGCCAUGGGGCGGCGCAAAAUUGGCCCAGCAUCGCCCGGGUUAGGGAGGGUUUGGCCGGCAGGGAUAUCCUUGUCUCAUCGCGCACUAGCGACUACUGUUGCGGGCCAGGCGCAGUGCACGCUGACACGGUAGCCAGGUGUACGUGUUUCCUUCGAUACAUUGGUGCGGCUGGCUUCCGGUUUGGAUGGGCAUUGUGUCAAGAAGCAGUGCGGCUUGGUUGGGUUGUGUUUCGGAGGACGCAUGGCUCUCGACCUUCACCUCUCCCGAGUCCGUACGGGAGUUGCAGCGAUGAGACGAGACUGUAACUACUACCAAUUGGAUACCAUGAAAUUGGGGAGAAAAAAAGGGGUGGGGAAAAACAUGACAUUUUGGAGAGAUUUUUGGACAAUAUAGGGGCCGCUUAGGCCUUGUUAUGGAUAAAUGUCUAUAAAGAUAGAUUGGUGUAAGAUAUCUGCUCAUGUAGGGGCCCAUGUUGACAAGUUGUUGGGGAAUCACUGGAGGGGAAUAUUGACCAACUGAGCAUCAGUGUACAGCUCAAUAAACACAAUAUGCAUUUUUCUACA